rnacentral:tRNA from 1 species
GCUUUUAUAGUUUAACAUUUUUAAAACACUGGUCUUGUAAAUCAGAAAUAAGUAUUAAUUUCUUUUAAAGUU